CCUGAACAAGAAAAGUGAAGGUAAUUCCCACUGCAACUCUUCAGCAACAUGCUGGGAAAGCAAAUGGGGUUUCCUCACUUUCAAAGGGCAAUGAGCAGAAGAUUUCCCUGAAUGGAUCGAGUUCAUCAGGCCAAAGACCCUGAAAGUAACCCUUUUUCCCAGCAAAACCAGCCCAAAAUGCUUGGCUAUUGAUACAUGACCGCAGCGCAGCUGGGAUGGCUUUCAGUGUUGUCACACCCCUGCCAUGGGUGUUUUGUGGAAGGGACACAUCAGUCUGAGCAAGCACACGAGACAGCACAGCUCCUGCUGGAAUUUCAAUGCUCUUCCAAUGAAAGUGGGCAGCGCCCAUCACCCCUGAAGAGAAAUUCUCAGGAAGGACUGCAAGGUCUCCAUCACACCUAGUGUAAAGGUUCUGCCAUUUGAGAAACCAUCUCCCACCAGAAGUCUGCCCAGGCAUCAAGAUGCAUCUGGGGGCUUGAAGCUUGUAUGUGAAGCCUGCUCCUCUUAACGCUUCCGUACACCUUGAAACAAUACCUUCAGGCAGGAAGAUCCCUUCCCCCACCUCUGACAACAGCACAGCCACCACCUCAGAGGAAAUGUACUGGCUCUGCAUUUCAGACUAUCUCUGUAAGGACCAUCUCUUCGUGGGACUGAGAAUGUCGAGAGACCAUUUUCCUGCCCCAAGGCAGGGCAGUUUUCCUUCUGCCUCACUCACCUCCAUCCCAACCUACACAUUAUCAGGACGGCAAGUUCAGAGCACACCAUGGCCUGGUGAUCACACACUGUCUCAGUCUACUGCAUGAACAGAUGGGGAUCAAGAGGAGACUGCCAGGCAGGCUUGGAUGCCUCCCAGAAGCAGAACCGCCUACAGCACAGCAAAAACCUUUCUUCAAAUGUAAUUACUGCUGAAUUUUACAUCAAUGGCAAUUUCCAACUGAGCCAUAGCUCUGUGUCAAUGAGGGGGCUGGGAACAGGCGGUAUUUCACAGAGAAGAACACAACAAUGCUGUGGCAGAACUGGCCCUCCUGGGAUGACACCCACUACCACGUGGAAAGGAUACACAGACUCUCUGCAUGCCAAAACCUCCUCUCAUCAGAGAGCCUGCCUGCAGUGGCGCAGGAAGAUGCCCUGUCUUAGCAUGAAGCCCACUCUGCAUUCCUCACAGUGGGCUUUCACCAUUGACAGAGUAGAAACAAGCAACAUUGUCUGCAGGGAAGUACAGAAAGUAACAUUAUGACAACUGGAGAUUGAAAAAUGUAAUUUCUAUUUAGUCACUACUUUCAAGCCAGUCCUGCACAGAUACCGUUUUCCUAUAAAAGUUUAUAGGAAGUUGCCUUCCACCACCUCUACCACAAUGGCUGCUGGUGCACGGUGCUGUCAGCCACUCACCUACUACAGGGGCUCUCUUGGGAUCACACACUGCACUGAUCUUCCCCAAACAUGCUGGGAAGGCUCCACCAUUUGGAGUGCUUGACACUCUCAUGCCAGCAGCAGGACCUUCAGAAGCACACAGUGCUGCACCUAGAAAGCUCUGCAUUCAGGAACCAGGAAAGCCAAAGACCAUAAAAGGGUCUUAUGGCAAUUUGCAGGAAUUCACUUUGGGUUCAAAUCACCAGUUUCUCACCAGAAUCACAAUAAACUGAUAGAGCAGUUUCCUUGCUUUCUUCCAAGGACAGAUAUCCAGAGGCAAAGCCUACUGAAAAGCCCUGGGUAGUAAUGCCCAUUUGCUAUGCGGAGAUUUGAAAACUGACUCAGGAACUGAGUCACACUUCCUGCCUCACCAUCCAACCACAGCUCAGAGAGGCUCCUUUUUUCUACCAUAAAUGGCCCUCUGCAGCUACAGGGCCCAGUCAACAGGAACUGAGCCUUGACUUCACACAGCAGCAGUGAAAAGGGAACCAGCCUGCAAACCAAGGUCUGCACAUGCAGCAGGAGCCCAGCACUUGCUCUUAAGUGUGGUUAAGAAUCAGAAGAGAAGCACCACAGAUGUCUUGGAGCCUUCCUCCACUUGUGGGCUCAACACAUCAGUCAGGGAAACUACUUCUACAUGGUCAGGCUUAGCUUUGAACUUGCAAAAUUAGUGGUGCCUUCUGCCUUUCAGGCUGCAGGGUCAUACAAGAUGAUUACUUUUCCAUGAGAGAGUGUCAACACACUUGCUCUUGUCUUUCAGCAAAGCAGGACUCCUGGUUGGCAUGGGGCUGCUCCUUUGACCAGUGUGAGAUGGGAGCACAGAUGCUCCUCUAAGGGUCAGAUGUUAGAUUCAUCAACAUCACAAGGGCACUGCUGCCAGCACAGUACUUGUAGGCAGGAGGCCUGGAGAUGCUUACUCACCUCAUCAGCGCCGUGUUCCUGGAGUUCCUUGUAGAAUUUCAGAGAAAUACUGACCAUGACUUUUGUCUUGUCUCCAUUGGGGUUUGAAAUAUGGUAAAGGACUCCAUCAAAGUCUAAGAAGCAAGCAAGAGAAAUGUGAGGGAACCGAAACCAGUUCCUAUUUCUGAGGAAGGUUUUCCCUACAAGUUCUAGUAACUGCAUAAAGUGACACUGCUCCUCUUGUUCCAGCCCUCACAUGCACAGCAAGAGAGAAACCCGCAAUUAAGGAAACUGGUAAUGUCAUGUAGGGAGACCUGCUAUCAUUCACAGGGCUGAAACAAUUUUGACACCUGUCCAUCACUGAAAGCUUUAGUCCAGUGUCACUUAGCAUCCAUGGCAAAUCCACUUGUGCUCAAUGCACAAGGAUACAAACAUGCAGAGACAGGAGCCUUCUGGAUGGCCAGCACAGAAAGUGAUUGACAUGCCCACCAGGCCAGAGCUGCAGCCGGGAGGAGAAAAUCUCUCUGCCAGCAAAGGCAGCUCAGCCGCUGCCUACUGCGAGAGCUUCCACUUCACUGCAGAAUGGGCAGGGAGGGCAGGAGGAAGGGAAAAGCAACCCUCCAGCUACCUAGUAAGCUCCACUUCCCCACUGUGCUUUGCAGCUUACACAGAUUCCUGAUAACAGAAGCAAAAAUCAGUUGCUGAAUGAGUACUUUAACUUCCUUGGCAUUUCUCUUCCUGAAGAGCAAACUUGAGGUGAUGAAUCCAUUUUGCCUGUCACCCUAAGUCAGCUUCCUAACAACUCAAACCAGAUGGUGCUAAAGACCUCGUAACAAGUAGCACCAAGGGCAGGACUGGAGAACAGAUGAGGUAAAAGAGCUGUGUAGCAGGCACACACCAAAGCACACCAGUGAACUCAAUGCUCUAGUGAAGUCCCUGGGAAGGCAUACAGACAGAGAAAUAGUGGGGCAGCCAGUGAAACACCAGCCAGCUCUGUGGAUACUGCAGGAUCUCCACAUCGCCCCUGCCCAGUGGUGUGGGCAGAUUGUUCAAGCCAGCCCUUCAUUCAGAGAACUCAAGAGAGCUGUGGAACUUACCUGCAAACGUUACUUCUACUGCCUCUGGUUUAUUUCUAAAAAGCAAAGAAAACAAAGGACAUAAAUGAAAACUCUAACAGCAGCCUCCAAGCUGUGAAGGAAAGAGGAUUAAUUUCCAAGGCUUUAUUUCUCACAGGCAGUUCUUCCUUAAAACCCUUUUAUCUCCUGCUGUCCAACUAGUAGUAACCUUUGACAAGAGAUCUUAGACUUCUUCCCCUUCCUAUAAGGACCAUUCUACCCCAGAUGACAUAACAUAGACUUUGAAGCUGGCACAGAUUUCUACUAUUUCUAGAUUAUGUAUAGACUUUGACAUCACAGAUUUCCAGUUAGAAUGCCUAAGAAAGCUACUCCUUACUAAGAAGUUUGUUUUCACAAGUAUUACUCUGUACAGAAUGUCCAUGACACAGAUUUUGGGACAGAGGAUCUUUUGUAAGGUCCUGCAAUACCAGUUCACAGAAGGAGCUGAGUAAUCCUUCCUGACACAGAGCCCCCUCUGCCAUCAACACCAGUUCUGCAAAUGCAUUGAUAUAACUUGCUUGCAGAAAAGACCCCUUUUCCAAGUAAGGAAAGUGUUAGUAGUGUUAGGAGCAGUGUUAGGAACAAGCCAAAGAAGGAAACUUUCCACAUGUUCAUUUCAUCCCACCCCGCUUCCAAAACACCCCAACAUUUUGCUAACAGCCUCUGCAGAAAAACUGUAUCUCUGGAUGUGCUUUAACACUGUCUUGAGUGGUCUCUGGAACCCCUGAUCAGCAAAAAAAACCCUUUGCAAGCCAAAGGCACAUCACAUGUUACACUGUGACUAUGAAGAUUAAACUGCUUCUUAACAAACCUUAUUUUGACAUUUCUCCAUGAUCUGUGAGAGAUGUAACUGCUUCUGGAAGGUCAUUUCAUUGGAAUUGGCAGUACAUAACUACUUUCACAGCUCCAAGGGGACUGGUAUUAAUAGGUCACUCUCCAACAGAGAAUUGAUGCAAAGGUAUCUCCACUGCUGAGAGCAGGUGUGGAAAAUGAGAACAGGAUAAAAAUGCCAGACUGCUACUGCUGUUUCACACUGUAUCUCCAUUUCUUUGUCAGAAGUAGAUGAUAUCAAGAGUACAGGCUAAUAAUGCUGCUACUAACAGAAAUCUAGUCUCUAACAGUUCAUUACCACCUGUCUGAACCAACAUAGUGAAAUAACUCCUCAGAGUAAAGUCAGUGGUCUCAACUAUGCUGCUGCUGCUGCUGCCCAGAGACCAGCUUCCACCGUUUUGCCAAAACUUGCUCUUCCACACACUUAUGUGCUGCUGGGUCCUGGCUACACCAUGAUUCAUACACUGAGAAAGGUGGGGAGAAGCAAUGACUUGGUAUCUACUUUCCCUGACCAUAUUCUGUAACAAUUGAAAUUAUUUUAUCUCAGCAGCGAGCACUAUUUUCCCAUCAGCUUUUCUGCAGCCCAGUCUCAUUCCUGGAAGGUAGAAAUGACCACAAUGUGAUAAAACUCAAGCUGGGCAAUACAGGGAGAGCAAGGCACUGCAUUGAUCCCAGACACUCACCAGGUCAAUAUUUUACUCCAGCAGAAAGGGAAAAAAUAACCCCCAGAUGGAGAUCCUAAGUGAAAAUGAAAAGGUGUUCCUGCUUUGUGAAAGUGAUCAGCUAUGAAGGGCAACAGCCCCUUUUUUGUCUGAAGGCUGGGGAGCCUCUGUCUUUUGUGCCACACUGCUGAAGAUAAAACCCACACUUGAAAGGAGUGGUGCAAGUGCACCCAAAGCAGGUCCUACGUGUGACCUCUCUUACUUUCAUCUCCCCUUCCCGACUGGGCCUGAGAUGGGCUCAGCAGGCAUUCUUGGCUGCAUAUUUAGUUUGGGCUCUUGGAAAGGGGAGCAAUUCCCCAACAUGUGCAAGCCACUUCUGCUCACUGAGGAUGGCUCAGAGCAGAGAUGAAAGAAAAUCCCCGAGAUCCCACUCGGUCAGUUGAUGCGGACGUGUUCUUCUUUUAGAGCAUCACACUCAGACGUGGGAAUCAGCUUGGAUGGCAGUAUAAAUUUUUAUAAAAAAAGAAACCUAUGUAGGAAGCUUUAAAGAUAGCACAGCCAGGCACAUGAGAGCUAGGAAUACUAAACAGGACACAUCCUUAAACCUCUGUUCCAUCUUCUCAGAGUUACACCUUUCAAAUUCCAUUCCCCACACACACAGAGUUGACAUCUCCCGGAGCCCCCGCUCCCAGCAGAGCCUUCCAAACACAGCACCCCCCUCUGAGAAAUGCAAGGAAGUGGCUGACAGCCAGUGUACUGGAGUGGUUUUGCUGAGGAAGGAUGAUUCCCCAUUUGGUUGCCCUGUACCCAAGGGAUGGCAGGAAGAUCACUCAUCACAUCAUUGAAGAAACCGAGGAAGACCAUGUACAGGAGCCAGCUGAUGGCUCUGCACGAGAGCCUUUGUUCUGCACACAAAAGCUCACUGCUAACACAGCUGGGUUUGAGCCUGUUAUUGUGCAAGUGUCAUUUCUUAGAAGUUAUUUUAUAGCUGAUUUCCCAAGUGGCUCAGUUCCGGUACUUGGGGAUGGUAAGGAGGGGGAGUAUUUAAGGGAAAAGAAGGUAACUGGGCAGAACUUUAGGAGCUGAAUAUUCAACCACUUCCCGGCACAGCCUCAGUGAAGCAAGAGCUCACGUGAGCCGCAUACAGAGCUCCUCACUGCCACGCUGGCCCUGUCAUCUACGGCACUCACCAGGCACACACUUAAGUAACCCAGGCCUCGCCUGGCCCAUGGGAGGACAAGGAAGAGCAUUGGAAGUGUGGCUGGGAGCAAAGUGAGCCCUCUUAGCCUUUCACAGUUCAGGAGCUUUACAAUUACAAUGUUUAAAGUGCUUCUAUUUCUUUCUCUGGUUCACCUAAUCAAAACUACCCUGGCUACUCAAAAUGUCUCUCUAAUAGAAAAAACAUUCCUUUUGCUACUGGGAUUGUUGUUCCCGCUUCAAGAAGUCCCCAAGCAGAAGAGAGAGGAGCUCUCACCUCCAGCAUUCCAUAGCUUCUGGAUGAGCAAAAAUGCUGCAGGUCACACACACAUGUUCACUUCCCCUUGACCUUCCAGCAACCCCAUCUUCCACCAGCAGAAAUAGCUCUAUAGAGGCACAACAUGUCCUCUCCUUGUUCUGUCCUUCCUGCUCUUGUGUGGACAAAGGCUCAGUGCAGAGGGUUCACAGCAGGCCCGGGAUGGGGCAUGCACCACUGAGAGUGAGUACCAGGUACUGUCAGGUUACUGGCACGAUCCCAAAGAGCUCUGUGUGGUCUGGUGUGCUCUGGCAUCCCUUGCCUCCAUGAGGAGGCCCUCCACACCCAUAGAAGGAAUUGGCAGCUCAGCAGCUUGGUGCUGAAUGACUCUGAAUUGCAGCCAUUUCUAAGUCCCAGCCGGACUGUAAAUCUCAACUGGGAAGCCAGGAGGUCCUUGGAGGUUCACUUCUACCCUUGAUCCAAAUCUCUGAGAAACAGACUAAGCCUACCUAUACUCAGAGGAUUUGAGAUAGGACACCUCAUCCACUCCUGGGGCAGAGAGCUGCUGUGACCUCUUCAAGCUCCUUACCUCCAAUGUUACCUGAACCAUCCCUAAGUGACCUUCCCUGUUUGCUACCCUCUGCCCUGAAUGGACAAUAAAACCAUCUCAUACCAGGAAUAUCUGAGAUGGCUUCUCUCUGCACUAAACAUUGAAUCCAGACCUUUCUGCAAACCCCGGCCUGAACUCUGAUGAGAAAACGGCAGCUGUUCCCAGCACCAGUCGUUUUGUGAUAACUGUUAUCAGGACUGAAGUCAAACCCACACAAAAUCCCAUCUGCCCUCUGCUUGUAACAAUAAAAGACCCUGACAAGUU